GUGCCCAUAGUGUAACGGAUAGCACUCAAGUUUCCGAUGCUUGCGGUGAGGGUUCAACCCCUUCUGGGCGCACCA
rnacentral:tRNA from 1 species